rnacentral:rRNA from 1 species
AUUGAACGCUGGCGGCAGGCCUAACACAUGCAAGUCGAGCGGAUGAAGGGAGCUUGCUCCUGGAUUCAGCGGCGGACGGGUGAGUAAUGCCUAGGAAUCUGCCUGGUCGUGGGGGAUAACGUCCGGAAACGGGCGCUAAUACCGCAUACGUCCUGAGGGAGAAAGUGGGGGAUCUUUGGACCUCACGCUAUCAGAUGACCCUAGGUCGGAUUAGCUAGUUGGUGGGGUAAAGGCCUACCAAGGCGACGAUCCGUAACUGGUCUGAGAGGAUGAUCAGUCACACUGGAACUGAGACACGGUCCAGACUCCUACGGGAGGCAGCAGUGGGGAAUAUUGGACAAUGGGCGAAAGCCUGAUCCAGCCAUGCCGCGUGUGUGAAGAAGGUCUUCGGAUUGUAAAGCACUUUAAGUUGGGAGGAAGGGCAGUAAGUUAAUACCUUGCUGUUUUGACGUUACCAACAGAAUAAGCACCGGCUAACUUCGUG